UUAAGCGAAUAAGCGUACACGGUGGAUGCCUAGGCAAUCAGAGGCGAUGAAGGACGUGCUAAUCUGCGAAAAGCGUCGGUAAGGUGAUAUGAACCGUUACACCCGACGAUAUCCGAAUGGGGAAACCCAGUAUCCAAUGGAUACUAUCAUUAACUGAAUCCAUAGGUUAAUGAGGCGAACCGGGAGAACUGAAACAUCUCAGUACCCCGAGGAAAAGAAAUCAACCGAGAUUCCCCUAGUAGCGGCGAGCGAACGGGGAGCAGCCCAGAGUCUUAAUCAAUAGCAGUGUCAGGAGAACGGUCUGGAAAGUCCGGCAGUAAAGGGUGAUAGCCCCGUAUCUGAAGAUGCUGUUGUUGUGAACUCGACGAGUAGGGCGGGACACGUGUUAUCCUGUCUGAAUAUGGGGGGACCAUCCUCCAAGGCUAAAUACUCCUGAUUGACCGAUAGUGAACCAGUACCGUGAGGGAAAGGCGAAAAGAACCCCGGCGAGGGGAGUGAAAAAGAACCUGAAACCGUGUACGUACAAGCAGUAGGAGCCUCUUUAUGGGGUGACUGCGUACCUUUUGUAUAAUGGGUCAGCGACUUAUAUUCUGUAGCAAGGUUAACCGUAUAGGGGAGCCGUAGGGAAACCGAGUCUUAACUGGGCGAAUGAGUUGCAGGGUAUAGACCCGAAACCCGGUGAUCUAUCCAUGGGCAGGUUGAAGGUUGGGUAACACUAACUGGAGGACCGAACCGACUAAUGUUGAAAAAUUAGCGGAUGACUUGUGGAUGGGGGUGAAAGGCCAAUCAAACCGGGAGAUAGCUGGUUCUCCCCGAAAGCUAUUUAGGUAGCGCCUCGUGAAUUCAUCUUCGGGGGUAGAGCACUGUUUCGACUAGGGGGUCAUCCCGACUUACCAACUCGAUGCAAACUGCGAAUACCGAAGAAUGUUAUCACGGGAGACACACGGCGGGUGCUAACGUCCGUCGUGAAGAGGGAAACAACCCAGACCGCCAGCUAAGGUCCCAAAGUCAUGGUUAAGUGGGAAACGAAGUGGGAAGGCUCAGACAGCCAGGAUGUUGGCUUAGAAGCAGCCAUCAUUUAAAGAAAGCGUAAUAGCUCACUGGUCGAGUCGGCCCGCGCGGAAGAUGUAACGGGGCUAAACCAUGCACCGAAGCUGCGGCAGCGACACAAAGUGUUGUUGGGUAGGGGAGCGUUCUGUAAGCCUGCGAAGGUGUACUGUGAGGUAUGCUGGAGGUAUCAGAAGUGCGAAUGCUGACAUAAGUAACGAUAAUGCGGGUGAAAAACCCGCACGCCGGAAGACCAAGGGUUCCUGUCCAACGUUAAUCGGGGCAGGGUGAGUCGACCCCUAAGGCGAGGCUGAAAAGCGUAGUCGAUGGGAAACGGGUUAAUAUUCCCGUACUGGUGGUAACUGCGAUGGGGGAACGGAGAAGGCUAGGUUGUCCGGGCGACGGUCGUCCCGGUUCAAGCAGGUAGGCAGAGUGAUUAGGCAAAUCCGGUCACUUAAUGCUGAGAUGUGAUGACGAACCACCAAGGUGGUGAAGCAAUUGAUGCCCCGCUUCCAGGAAAAGCCUCUAAGCUUCAGGUUACCAACAAUCGUACCCCAAACCGACACAGGUGGUCAGGUAGAGAAUACUCAGGCGCUUGAGAGAACUCGGGUGAAGGAACUAGGCAAAAUGGUGCCGUAACUUCGGGAGAAGGCACGCUGGCGGUAGGUAAAGUCCCUCGCGGACAGAGCUGAAGCCAGUCGAAGAUACCAGCUGGCUGCAACUGUUUAUUAAAAACACAGCACUGUGCAAACACGAAAGUGGACGUAUACGGUGUGACGCCUGCCCGGUGCUGGAAGGUUAAUUGAUGGGGUCAGCCGCAAGGCGAAGCUCCUGAUCGAAGCCCCAGUAAACGGCGGCCGUAACUAUAACGGUCCUAAGGUAGCGAAAUUCCUUGUCGGGUAAGUUCCGACCUGCACGAAUGGCGUAAUGAUGGCCAGGCUGUCUCCACCCGAGACUCAGUGAAAUUGAACUCGCUGUGAAGAUGCAGUGUACCCGCGGCAAGACGGAAAGACCCCGUGAACCUUUACUAUAGCUUGACACUGAACAUUGAGCCUUGAUGUGUAGGAUAGGUGGGAGGCUUUGAAGUGUGGACGCCAGUCUGCAUGGAGCCAACCUUGAAAUACCACCCUUUAACGUUUGAUGUUCUAACCUAGGCCCAUAAACUGGGUCGGGGACCGUGUCUGGUGGGUAGUUUGACUGGGGCGGUCUCCUCCUAAAGAGUAACGGAGGAGCACGAAGGUUGGCUAAGCAUGGUCGGACAUCAUGCGGUUAGUGCAAAGGCAUAAGCCAGCUUGACUGCGAGAGUGACGGCUCGAGCAGGUACGAAAGUAGGUCUUAGUGAUCCGGUGGUUCUGAAUGGAAGGGCCAUCGCUCAACGGAUAAAAGGUACUCCGGGGAUAACAGGCUGAUACCGCCCAAGAGUUCAUAUCGACGGCGGUGUUUGGCACCUCGAUGUCGGCUCAUCACAUCCUGGGGCUGAAGUAGGUCCCAAGGGUAUGGCUGUUCGCCAUUUAAAGUGGUACGCGAGCUGGGUUUAGAACGUCGUGAGACAGUUCGGUCCCUAUCUGCCGUGGGCGUUGGAAGAUUGAGAGGGGUUGCUCCUAGUACGAGAGGACCGGAGUGAACGCACCACUGGUGUUCGGGUUGUCAUGCCAAUGGCAUUGCCCGGUAGCUAAGUGCGGAAGAGAUAACCGCUGAAAGCAUCUAAGCGGGAAACUUGCCUCGAGAUGAGUCUUCCCUGUCGCUUUAAGCGACCUAAAGGAACGUUUAAGACUAAGACGUUGAUAGGCUGGGUGUGUAAGCGUAGCGAUACGUUGAGCUAACCAGUACUAAUGAACCGUGAGGCUUAACCUG
rnacentral:rRNA from 1 species